rnacentral:rRNA from 1 species
CGGGGGCUGCAGUAGGGAAUUUUCGUCAAUGGGCGCAAGCCUGAACGAGCAAUGCCGCGUGAACGAGGAAGGUCUUCGGAUCGUAAAGUUCUGUUGAAGGGGAAAAAGAGCGGAGAGAGGAAAUGAACUCCGAAGGAUAUUACCCUUCGAGGAAGUCACGGCUAACUACUUGCAAGCAGCCGAGGUAAUACGUAGGUGGCGAGCGUUAACCGGAUUGAUGGGGCGGAAGGGGGGCGUAGGCGGCCUGCGAAGUCUGGAGUGAAAGGUACCGGUCAAACCGGUACAGGCUCUGGGAACUGGCGGGCUAGAGGGCAGGAGAGGGCGGUGGAACUCCAUGUGUAGCGGUAAAAUGCGUAGAUAUAUGGAAGAACACCAGUGGCGAAGGCGGCCGCCUGGCCUGUUGACUGACGCUGAGGCACGAAAGCGUGGGGAGCAAAUAGGAUUAGAUACCCCUGUAGUC